rnacentral:lncRNA from 1 species
AAGAUGAAUUAAAACAUUCGGAAAGAGAAAUAGGUAGCACGGAAGGAAACUUCUCUACUGCCAUGAAAAAAUCAGUUUGUGUAGUCAGUUCGUUCAUUUUCUGAAAAUUGAUUGAAUCUUAAUAUCUUCUCCUUUUUCCAGCGGCAUUUUAUACUCCAUUCUUCAAAGAGGUGUGGGAUAAGAAGCCAGAAAUCGAACGUGCAUUCCAUUUGGAAGACCCCUCUAAUCCUCCAUUACCUCCUCGACAUGAAAGUUACCGCCUAAAAAUGAACUCUGAUCAAGGGAGUUGUGGUGAUCUCUAUUUUGAAGAAGGGAAUGACUUUUCUCCAGCAUAUUCCCAAGAGCGGCUCAUCAGCGGGAGCGAAGAUAGUGAUACGUGUUCACCCCUAGAUGUGUAUGCAUCUGCACAAGAAAACAGCAGAAACAAUACCAGCACAUUACAGUCAAACAAUAAACUUCAUGGUAAGCAGUUUUUUUUUUUUUUUUUUUUUUUUUUUUUUACAAGCUUCCUUCUUCCAUUUUUUUAUGGUUAACAUUUUAAUGCGAAAUUAUGAGUAUUUUAAAAAUGAACCCUGACAAAGAUUUAUACAACUAAUACUUAUAUUGGUUUUUAUUUUUCUAAAUUUAAAAGAGGAAUCAUGAUCCACUUAAUCAAGAUUUAAAAUGUCUAUCACUCACCGUCACUUAUUUCAUUUUACUCCUUUUCCCCCCCAUUUUUACCCUCAUGAGAACAUAGUUUCUCUCUAAACAUUUAUCCACCAGCAUGUUUUUGGUUUUGGUUUUUUUACUCUAGUUUUCAAUUUGUUUGCCUUUCCUUUGGUGAUGGUGAGGCCUCUUCAAGAAAUUUAAUCUUUGAUUCUUUCAUGACUUUAAAAUCUUUUUUCCACCUCGUCAACGUUCAGUUCACUUAUGCUUUUUGCGCAUUUGAUUAACAUUCAGUGAGUAGUUUGGAGUCAAACUUUAUUCAUUCCACCAAUUUAAGUUUUUGAUCAAUUUUGUGUGAGUACAUAUAAUUGAUUAUAUAAAAAGGAAAUUUGAACUCAACCACAGAGCAACCAAGUCUUAAGUUUCAGACACUCUCUUCGUUCCUAGAAUUAGUUUUGAUUGGCAAGAGAGAUUGCAUCCAGAGAAAGGAGUUUUUCGUUAGACGUUUAUUCCAAACUACUAAUUACUCAUUUUUCAUUGAUGUGUGCAAGAAUAUACUCAAAUAUUCUGUAAUUUGACAAUCCUCCAGUGAUUUUCUUGCUAACAUUUUUAUUUCUUACUUCAGACUUUUUCUUUAAAUAGGUAAGUCUAGUAAGUAGAUUAUAGCCCAUUUUAUAAGUUGAUGAUUUGGCUGAGACAUUGUGCAAGAAGAAACGUUUCUGAUCAGCAGAGAAAAAUAUGUUUUAUCUGUUCGGGCUCAGAUGCAUUUGAGAAGACACUAUGAGGGUGCAAAAAGUACCUUUCCUUGCAAUACAUAAAUCUGAGGAAACAAGAGGAAAAUCUCGGAAUUUCAGGCAAAUGAGCAUAGAGAAGUAGAGUUUUCUUAAUUUCUGAAGGGUGCAAAAAGUUCCACAAAGCACACAGUUUGUCUCAAUCUGGUAUUUCUUCCUCACAGGUUUAGGUUAUAGCUUCUUAUUUCUAUGUUCCUAAGAACCCUUGAAAUUAUGUAAUGGCAGUAAAAUCUAUAAGUGAUGAUAUAUCGUCACAUUUGUAUCUAUACAUAAUGCAUAAAUUCGUCAUUGCUUUUCAAAACUACAAAAGCUUCCUAGUUAUUACUGAUUAGGCACUAUUUACUUACUCGGACUAAAAAUUCAGAGGGAAAGCAAGCAACCUUAAGAACGAUGAUUGAUGAACAGAUUUGUUCUGACGCCAAGCCAGAAUUUAUGUGAACCAGGUUGUCGACUUUCACCCUAUCCUUUUUGAUCUUUCUUCAAGCCUUCAACUAAAAUUCAAGCUUUGUGCUGAGCUCACAAGCCAAAGUUAAUUACAUUUUUCGCUUUUAAAGAGCUCUUUUGAUGUUUAACUAG